rnacentral:rRNA from 1 species
AACGAACGCUGGCGGCAUGCCUAACACAUGCAAGUCGAACGAAGGCUUCGGCCUUAGUGGCGCACGGGUGCGUAACGCGUGGGAAUCUGCCCAAAGGUUCGGAAUAACUCAGGGAAACUUGAGCUAAUACCGGAUGAUGUCGCAAGACCAAAGAUUUAUCGCCUUUGGAUGAGCCCGCGUAGGAUUAGCUUGUUGGUGGGGUAAUGGCCCACCAAGGCGACGAUCCUUAGCUGGUCUGAGAGGAUGAUCAGCCACACUGGGACUGAGACACGGCCCAGACUCCUACGGGAGGCAGCAGUGGGGAAUAUUGGACAAUGAGCGAAAGCCUGAUCCAGCAAUGCCGCGUGAGUGAUGAAGGCCUUAGGGUUGUAAAGCUCUUUUACCCGGGAUGAUAAUGACAGUACCGGGAGAAUAAGCUCCGGCUAACUCCGUGCCAGCAGCCGCGGCAAUACGGAGGGAGCGUAGCGUUGUUCGGAAUUACUGGGCGCG